ACGCAUCAGGGGCAAAGGCGACAACUGCACCACUUAACUCAAGAUAUCGUGAAUCCGAUAAUACCCGAGUGGAGACAAGGUACUUAUCCGGAAUUGGUCGAAUCUUUUUGAGUGCAAGUUGACAUUCAUCGUCGGCAUAUUCAGCAUAAUUGAUGGGGAAAGAACGAACUUUGAACUUUUUAGCCUCGUCAAAAGGAACAACAGAGUCCAUGACAUGAUUAAACAGAUGAAAUGUGAACCUUGCAGGAGUGGCAGCAUUCAAAACUGCAAAGUACAAAGGAUUAAAUAAGUCGCUGCCAUUAUUAAAAGUUGGAAGAGAAUCGUGAGCAUUAUUAGAAAGGGGAAAAC